rnacentral:lncRNA from 1 species
CACUGGACGCCGCGGACCGCGCUAAGCAAAGCGGGGCUGCAGGGAGGGCAGGUUAGGGCAGCUGACCUUCGGCACGAGGGCGUUGCAACAAUCCCCGCGCGCGCACGAGCUUCCAGCUCCAGACGGCCCGGUGGACAGCGCGCACCGCAGGGCUCCCCCGCCGCCCCCCUAGGCCGCGCCGUCCUCGCCCCUGUCUGGCUUCUCCUCCGGCAGGUGCAGCACGAAGGGGACGAGCGCGCCCCGGGCGUCCAGCGGGGCGCGGAGCGGCGCGGGCUCGAAGGUGGCGCCCCGGCCCGCGCCCCGGCCCUCGCCCGCGCCCUCGCCCGCGCCCUCGCCCGCGCCCUCGCCGUCCUGCGGGGGCACGAAGCGCCAGGUGCCCCCGCGGCCCACGCAGUAGAUGGCGCGGCCGAGCGCGGCGCAGCGGAAGGGCGGCAGGCCCGGCGGGUGCGCGGCGCAGCGGCUCCAGCGCUUGGCCAGGCAGUGGUAGCGCAGCACGGUCACUGCCCCGGCCGCCUGCGGGUCUCCGCGCGCCGCGCCCUGGUCGAAGCGGUAGACGGAGCCGCCCAGGGCCACCAUGCCCAGCGCGCGCUCGCGGCUGCUGCUGCUCGGGCACUCCUGCCACUCGUCGCGCCGCGGGUCGUACUUGAGCAGGCGGCCGGACAGCGAGCCCCCGGACACGUAGAUGUCGCCGUUGCACGCGGCCGCCUCGUGCGCCACGGCGAAGGCUCCGCGCGGCAGCGGGGCCACGGCGGCCCAGCGGUCGGCGCGCGGGUCGUAGCGCUCCACGCUGCGCAGGCACUCGCCGCCCACGGCGUACAGGUGUCCGUCCAGGGCCAGCAGCUGCAGCUGCGAGCGCGCCUGGCGCAGCGGGCGCACGGCGCUCCAGAGCCCCGUGGCCGGGUUGUAGCAGAAGACGCGGUCCGAGGCCCGCGCGCGCCCGUCCGGCCCCGCCGCGCCCACGCCGCCCGCCACGAAGAGGUAGUUGUGCAGCACGCACAGCCCGCAGCCCCGCGCCGCCGCGCCCUCGGGCAGCCGCGUCAGCUCGCGCCACUCGCCCGCCGCCUCGUGCAGCCAGAACACGGCGCGCGCGCCCCCGGCCCCCGCGCCCCCCGCGGCCCCCGCGGCCCCCGCCGGCCCGAGCUCCAGCGCCGCGGCCAGCAGGUGGGCCCGGCCCGCGCGCAGGCGGCGGCGCAGCAGCAGGUCGCGCUCGGCCCCCGACAGGCGCCCGAACACGCCGGGCUCGCGCAGCACGUCCAGGUAGUGGUCGCUCAUGAAGCGGUAGGCGGCGUCGCGCAGCUCGGUCAGCCGCUGCCGCUUGGCCGCGCUCAGCACCUCGUAGCAGUUGGCCAGGCUCAGCUGCGGCGCCACGGCCUCGGCGGCGCGCUGCGCGGCGCACGGCAGCUGCAGGCGCCGCGCGCCCGCCGCCACCUCGGCCACGUUGUCGGGCCGCACCCCCGCCAGGCGCCCGCUGUACGCGUAGGCCAGCAGCAGCCGCAGCGCCGCCCAGCCCACGCCCUGCACCCGCAGCACGUCCCGCGACGCCCGCGCGCGGAAGUAGUCGCUGCGCGCCGCCAGCACCGCCUUGUGCGCCCGCAGCCGGCGGCCCGACACCUCGAUGACCAGGUCGGGCUCCCCGUGCACGGGCUCGACGCCGGGGGCCACGGGCGCCAGGUCCCCGGGCUCCUCCGCCUCCUCCGGGGACGCGGGCUCCUCCAGGGACGCGGGCUCCGCGGGCGACAGCAGCUCCUCGGUGCACGCGGGCGACAGGAGCUCCUCCGGGGAUGCGCGCUCCUCGGUGGACGCGCGCUCCUCUGGGGUCACGGGCUCCCCGGGCGACAGGAGCUCCUCCGGGGUCCCGGGCUCCGCCGGGGAUGCGCGCACCUCCGGGGUCCCGGGCUCCUCCGGGGUCGCGCGCUCCGCCGGGGACGCGCGCUCCUCCAGGGUCCCGGGCUCCGCCGGGGAUGCGCGCUCCUCCGGGGUCAUGGGCUCCUCCGGGGACGCGCGCUCCGCCGGGGACACGCACUCCUCGGGGUCCCCGGGCUCCCCGGGAGCCGCGGCGCCCGCGCUGCCGACCUCCCCCUGCCGCUCCACCACCCGCGGGCCGCUACGACGCGAGGGCGGGGAGGACGCUGCGCCCUCCGCGGCGGAGGCGCGACCCUGCGGCGGGGAGCCGUCCCCGGAGCUGAAGCACAGCGACGCGCCGAGGCUGCAGGGUGUCUGCGCGGCCGGCGGCGGCGGGACCCCGGGCUGGCCGCGCGCCCCCUGCGCCCCCGCGCCCCCGGCCUCGGGCCCGCGCUCCGGGAGGGGGGGCUCCAUGGGCGCCGCGCUCUGGCCGCCGCCGCCCCGCCCGCUCAGCAGCCCGGCAUCACCGGCCCUGCCCCGCGCGCCUCAAGGCCCCGCGGCCCCUGGGCCCGGCUCCCGGGCUCCGCUUCUGGGUGCACAGUCCCGAGGCUCCCGCGAGGUGGGGCCUGUGCGCCCGGCGCGCAGCCCCGCCAGCCUCGGACGCGGGGUCCGUGGGCUUCGCCUCCAGGCCGCACCCCAGGGCUCCCCGAUGCUCCCCCGAUGCUCCCUCCAGGCCGCGAUGCUCCCCCGAUGCUCCCUCCAGGCCGCGAUGCUCCCCCGAUGCUCCCUCCAGGCCGCGAUGCUCCCCGAUGCUCCCUCCAGGCCGCGAUGCUCCCCCGAUGCUCCCUCCAGGCCGCGAUGCUCCCCCGAUGCUCCCUCCAGGCCGCGAUGCUCCCCGAUGCUCCCUCCAGGCCGCGAUGCUCCCCGAUGCUCCCCCGAUGCUCCCUCCGGCCGAGCCUUGGCCUCUGGGGGGGCCCCCCGCAGGUCGGUCUCCGGUGCUGA